rnacentral:lncRNA from 1 species
UGUAAAAAUCAUCUAUUUAAUUACUAUAUUUAUUAUAAAAGCUUAAUUACAUAUUUUGAAUAUUGUAUAUUCAGUUUAAAUUAUUACUUGCAAACCUUACUUUUAUGUAUAGUAAUAUUCACGUUAUUUUCUAUGAAUAUUCAUUAGGGAUUUACUUAAAUCAUUGUAUUUGAUUGGCUGUUAAUAUUUCGCGGUCAAGUUUAAUUUCCUUUGUUUUGUACCUGUACAUUUCCACGGGACGAUAGCCAUGACAGUCCAUUGAAUUUAUGUCUGUUUAUAUUGACCACAUAGUUUACCUGUAAACCUUAUAUAUUUUGGACAACAUUAUUAUAGAAUACUGUAAGUUACUUCUUUAUUAACAUUAUUU